UAACUUUCCCUCUACCUCUUUGCAUGGCAGUCACUAUUCCACUGCAGCCUGGCUAUUUUUGCUCUCCUCACCCAUUACAACCUUGUAGCUGUCCUCCAAAGAACAGUGCCCUUAGUAACUGUCUCUUCUGUUUUGAUCUAGACCUGGCUCCAGUGGCAGGAGAUAUAUCAACACAAUAUCAAGAUGUUCUGAAGGUCUCUUUAGAUGACAUUUUACUGCAUUGACUCCAUUCUUUUGUUUUUAUCUGUAUCAGAGAAAUUACAACGGAAACGAGAAAUGUUAUGAACCAGAUGCCGAAAAAGUCCCAGUGGCAAGAAUCAGAAGAGGGCACAAAGGUAGGUGUGCUUUUAUUUAAAAACUACAUGAGAAACAGACUUAUUGGAAGAAAUGCCUUUUUUUUAUUACAUCCUCUUAACAACCAAGCUAGUAAUCUAGCUCAAGUUGGCAAUAUGGCCCGCUAAAAGUCCUUGGGGGACAUGCACUAAUGGGCAGAUGAGAGUGACUUGUUGACACCUUCAUUGUUUUCAUCCUACA
rnacentral:lncRNA from 1 species